GAAAUUUUACUUCAUAAUCACGUAGUCAUAGUGGAUGUGGAGUGGGGAAAGGGAAGUGAGGAAGUGAGAAUAUUAUAUGACAGAUUAUUUGAUAACAUGUCACCUUUAGUGAGUGUUAGUGUGUGUAAUAGUGAGUGUGGUUGAAGGAGCAGUGAUACGUGGCGCUGGGGAGGGAGAGCGGGUGGCUGGCUGGCUGGCUACAUUGUUUUGGUCAACACUGGUCAGUCUUGCCCCACACGCUGUUUUAAACCAGUGUUUCCGGAUUCCCGGCAGCUUUUCCCUGUACCGAGCACCGCCAAGCAGCACCAGAGAGGCAGGAAUACGUAAGCAUGAUGAGAUGGAGGUUUUAACUCCACCACCACCACCCACCACUACUGUGACUUACACCAGCACCGUAGCCACUAUCACCUCUUCAACAGCACUUGAACCAUCUCCGCCACCAGCACCACAGCCACUUCCUCUACCACCACCACCACCACCAAGAACACAUUUGAGGCAGUGAAUGGGAAUAUGGAGAUCUGUGUUGAAAGUUAUUUAAGAUUUGAAAGCAUGGUGUUGUAGGCUUGCCCUUGCUGGCUCAUGGCAGGAGAGGCGGCACUGCUUAGCUGGUGCUGCCUGCCCUUGUUGUUGCAGUGCCAUAACUCAUUCAAUUUCCAGUUUCUGCUGUAACCAAGCUUGUACUGUAGCGAUACAAGGCAUGGCAUCCAGUGUUGACAGACACCCAUCAAGCAAUAUGUUGAAGUGGUUAUCAAGUCAGAGGUUUUAGCUUUUAAAUACUCCAAGUAGGUCACUUGCCACACUCUUCCUUUACCACACCAAGCAUAAUGAUUAACUUAAGUGCUCUUACCGUGGAAUUACAGCAUCACACGUUCUGUCAGUUCUUUUAGGUGGUUCCUUUAGCCAUCAUUACAAGUCCAAUAAAACAGACCUCCAAUGUUUAAUACUUUAGGCUGUGAUGUGGUUUGGACUCUGCAGCCACCAGCCAAACAUUUGUGCUGCCUAAGGGAAUGUUGAAAAGAAUUUUGUUGUCGUUGUUUUCUCGCCAAGGAUACCUCAAGUGUCCGGCACACACUCUUAUACACUUGGCCAAAACAUUAUGUCGCCCCUCUGUACCAGCCUGGCAGGUUUAGGGAAAUGUGUACUGCUUGUGGCUUUAGGAUGAUGCUUUGUGGUAUGUAAUGUGAUGAGGGACAUACUGCAGUUGUAACAAGAUGCAUCCAGCAACCACUCAAAAGCAACACUAUAUCACUGCAACACAACCUUGGCGGCUGGCACAGUGGGGUGGAGAUAAUACUUUGCUGAAUAGUCAGGCAGUUGACGAUAACAAAAGUCACAUCACCUCACUUUCUACCACAAAGCCAGUAUUGAGUGACAAAAGACACCCUUCUAUGUCAUUGGAAUACACCAAGGUUUUUGUUCUAUGUGGAUUCAGAAUGAGUGAAUGUAUUACCAGUAUAACAAAAAAUUUCAUAAUGUGAGAUAAAAAUUACUGUAACACAACCCUCCCUGGACACUCAAGAAGCAGAAAAUAUAGGGAAAAUAUAUUGGAAGAAAAAGAAAGCCCAUAUACUAUGACUGUCUCCUCCCUGGACACUCAAGAGGCAAAAAAUAUAAGUUCUUGUGUAUUGUAAGAGAAAGAAAGCCUCAUAUUAUGACCAUUCCCUGCCUGAUCACUCAGAACAAGAAGAGAUGUGACUUGACUUGUUGACGGUCCUGGCUAUCAGACUUCCUUAGAGUGUUGUGAGGCCUUCCAGCAUCCCUGUAAUGUUGUCUUUGCCUUAGGAAGUGACAGAAAUACAACGCCAGAGGAGAGGAGGUCUGUACAGCAGCAGCCUCCUUUCCGUGUAUUGGUAGGGUCUAUUUUUCUGCUUUCUGUGUAUUUUUUAAACUGGAGGGGCAGGAAGAAAGUCCAUCUGGCCCUCACAUGUGACUUCCCUCUGAUGUGCAUGUUGUAAAUAUUGUUGGUAUUUGAAUCUAUUCCAGUAUCAGGUCCUUUUUAUUUCAUCUCAACUGGAGUAGAUAACUGAUGAAUAAAAAUGAUUUUCUCUUGGUA